CCUACGGGUGGCUGCAGUGAGGAAUAUUGGUCAAUGGACGGAAGUCUGAACCAGCCAUGCCGCGUGCAGGAAGACGGCUCUAUGAGUUGUAAACUGCUUUUGUACAAGGGCAAAACUGAAGACGUGUACGCAGAUGAAAGUACCGUACGAAAAAGGAUCGGCUAACGCCGUGCCAGCAGCCGCGGUAAUACGGAGGAGCCAAGCGUUAUCCGGAGUUAUUGGGUUGAAAGGGUGCGGAGGCGGUUUGAUAAGUUAGAGGUUCAAGGUCCGCGCUUAACUCGGGCACUGCCUGUGAUACUGUUGGUCUCUAGUUUAGGUGCUGUCGGCGGACUGUGUGGUGUAGCGGUUCACUGCUU
rnacentral:rRNA from 1 species